UUAUAUCCAAGUUCAAGAUUAUAGAACACCAAGCAGAUUUAACCCAAAGAAGACUACCUCAAGACACUUAAUAAUCAGACUCCCAAAGGUCAAGUCUAAAUAAA